rnacentral:rRNA from 1 species
GACGAACGCUGGCGGCGUGCUUAACACAUGCAAGUCGAACGGAAAGGCCCUGCUUUUGUGGGGUGCUCGAGUGGCGAACGGGUGAGUAACACGUGAGUAACCUGCCCUUGACUUUGGGAUAACUUCAGGAAACUGGGGCUAAUACCGGAUAGGAGCUCCUGCUGCAUGGUGGGGGGUGGAAAGUUUCGGCGGUUGGGGAUGGACUCGCGGCUUAUCAGCUUGUUGGUGGGGUAGUGGCUUACCAAGGCUUUGACGGGUAGCCGGCCUGAGAGGGUGACCGGCCACAUUGGGACUGAGAUACGGCCCAGACUCCUACGGGAGGCAGCAGUGGGGAAUAUUGCACAAUGGGCGGAAGCCUGAUGCAGCAACGCCGCGUGCUGGAUGACGGCCUUCGGGUUGUAAACCGCUUUCGCCUGUGACGAAGCGUGAGUGACGGUAAUGGGUAAAGAAGCACCGGCUAACUACGUG